rnacentral:rRNA from 1 species
UUGGAGGGCAAGUCUGGUGCCAGCAGCCGCGGUAAUUCCAGCUCCAAUAGCGUAUAUUAAAGUUGUUGCAGUUAAAAAGCUCGUAGUUGAAUUUUAGACUUGGCCGGGCGGUCCGUCUUUGGCGAGUACUGUCCUGUUGUCGGGUCUUCCUUCUGGUGAACCAGUAUGUCCUUAAUUGGGUGUGUUGGGGAGCCAGGACCAUUACCUUGAAAAAAUUAGAGUGUUUAAAGCGGGCUAUUGCUUGAAUAGAUUAGCAUGGAAUAAUAGAAUAGGACGUUGUGGUUCUAUUUUGUUGGUUUCUAGGACCACCGUAAUGAUUAAUAGGGAUAGUUGGGGGCAUUAGUAUUCAAUUGUCAGAGGUGAAAUUCUUGGAUUUAUUGAAGACUAACUAUUGCGAAAGCAUUUGCCAAGGAUGUUUUCAUUAAUCAAGAACGAAAGUUAGGGGAUCGAAGACGAUCAGAUACCGUCGUAGUCUUAACCAUAAACUAUGCCGACUAGGAAUCGGGCGACGUUAUUUUCAUGACUCGCUCGGCGCCUUACGGGAAAC